AAAAAGGUAAGGUAAGAUGAUUUUUUUAACUUCUCUACAGCAGGAACUGCCCGUUGUAAAUGAUCAAUUUCACAGCACCUAUCUUAUCUUUACAUGGGGAGACCAUAAACAGUGAGGUUCAUUUUAUUUUAAAAGGAUUUAAUAUCUCCUUUCACUUUUCACAGAUGUGUGAUAGUAAUUUUGCUGGAUGUCCACUUAUUGCAGUUCAGCCAGUUGAAGACAUUAUGAGAACUCUGGUGGGGUGCUGGAUUCCUAUGCUCUGGGGCAGUGCAAACCUGCCUCUGUGUUUAUCACAGUAACAGGAAUUCUAUGCAUCUACUACUUCUUGCUCAAAUGCCAAGGGACCGGAAUCAAAGUCAGAAUUUGUGUGACAAGUAAGAGAAAUAAACAGGUGAGUAUAUAGGGGAAAAUGAGAAAAGUGGAAGCAAAGAAAUUUGUGGAAGAACAAGCAUAAGGAUUUGAAGAUGAAGUGUAACAGCAAAAUACAGGUAAGAUGCCACACUAAGUGGCCCAGUUUCCUUUCCUCUUGCUGUGGUAAAAUACCCUGCAAAAGGCUGUCUUCCAGCCUUUUUCAAGCACCACAGUGGCAGAGCUAGGCAGCAGGAACCAGAAAGAGCUGAACACCUCAGGUUUACAUUCGGAAGAGAGCGGGGGAGCCUGUGAAUUCAUGCUCAGCUCACUUUCCCCAUGAUCCCCUGCCUAGGAACUGUGCUGCCCACAGAGGGUGGCUCUUUCCAUGUUACGUAGCUUAAUCAAGAUAAUUCCCACAGGCAUAUCCAGAAGCCGGUUACCCAGGUGAUUCAAGAUUUUUGUCAGGUGAUAUGAACCAUUACCCUAAGGAACCUUGCAAAUGCUUUACGGUGAUGAUGGAAAGGAAAGAAAGGAAGUUGUGAGAAAAAAUGCACAAACUGCUUCCUGGGGCUUUAUCAUAAUUUGAUUCAUUCGGAAAUAAUAUUUCCGGCAUGGAAUUAACUUUCAAGAUAGAACAAAGAGACACCUGUGUGUCUAAAUACAUGAAUAACAUGUAGUUACACUUCAUCAUAGCAACGGGUUAGCAGGUGAGAAAAAACAUUUUUAUACAGUGGCUUGGAAAGUGGAUAUUGCAGAGAACUUGGAGCCGGAAUCCUUGCUUCCUCCUUCCUGCUAUGUGUGUAAUCUUGGCUGGCGUCUUGGAGCAACUUCCUGCUAGUCCACAAGAGCUGACUGUGUUUGAUUGCCCCAGUACCAUGCCCGGCAAUGCAUCACACACAGCCAGGAUGACUGAGACCAUCGCAGGGGACAAUUCCUAAAUUAGGGAAGUUUUCUUUGUUUCUCCUGUGUUCAUUCAGCAGCACACAGCUGGAGAUGAAAAGCAUUCCAAACCCUUACAAGCCUUCCUCCUUUAUUCAUUGGAAAAGAAACAAAUACAAGGACAGUCCUUUCUGCAUAAGAUUCUGCAGAUCUUUCAAUAAAUGGUAUCUUUCAGAUUUCAUGUAUGAAGCAAAAAUUAAUAUAACUCUUGUAAUUUAAUUCGGCAUGUUCUGCAGAACAGUGAACUCUUUUGCAAUUCUGAUGUACUAGAAAGCAUUUCAAUUAGUUGAACACAACUCCAGGAAAAGAUAAUUUGUAAAAAUCAUUUGACAGGUGAGAUAUUUGCCUUUAAGAAUUAUUAGAAAGUUUCAAAGACAACAUACACUUACUAAAUUGUCUAUUAAGUUCAUAUAUUGUAUAUAUGCAUACAAUUAGAAUACAGAUAUACUCUAUAUGUGUGUUAGAAUAUAUACAUGCAUAUAUUCUAACUUGUUCUCUGACAUCGUGAUAAAACACCAUCAAAAGAAACUUGGAAAGUAAAUGGUUUAUUUGUGUUGGACUUCCUUAUUGGAGUUCAUCACUGAGAGAAGUCAGGACAGAAACUCAAAAUGGGAACCUGAAAGCAAAAUCUGAAGCAGCGACCAUGGAGAAAUGUUAUUUAAUUGUUUGCUCUUUGUUGCUUGCUCAGCUUGCUUUCUUACAGAAGACCAACUUGCUCUGGGUGCCACUUCCCACCAUGGCCUGAAUCGUCUUGCAUCAGUCAUUAAUCAAGAAAAUGCCCCCCUUGUGUAGAUAUUCUUACAGGCAACCUAAUGCAAGCAGCAACUCGGGAUCUCAAGAUUCUCUCUUCACCUAUAACUCUAGUUUAUGGAAAGUUGACAGGAACUAACCAUCGAUACAGGCACAAGCAGAGCACACCACACACACACACACACACACACACACACACACACACACACAUACACACACACACACACCUCUUGGUAUUUUAACUGCUCCUCAGAAUUAGAAUAAAUCCAGGGCUUCUGUUUUCUCACUCCUUGGUAAAUUAGUAUGACAUCUGGUGCUGGUUGUUUGCCCUGCUGUCCAGGAAGCUCUAAUAGAAUAUUCUAAGCCAGAGGCCACUGUGUCUAUCAUGAUGACAGGCAGAAUGUACAAUGAGAACCUUUAAAGGUAGGCUCUGCAGGAGAUCAGGAAUUUAAGUGAAGAUUAAACCAUCAUCAAAUCACCCUGCUCACUUGCCUAGCUAAAACUUCUUUCAUGUAGGUUGUUUUCAACAGGGAUUAUUUGUUCUUUUCGAUCCUUCUUUCUGUUUCUGCUCUAGGAAUGUAAUUUUUACACUAUGUUAAAACAACUUAUUCAUACACUUGUUUUUUUGCAAAAUAGUUUACAAACUGUGAAGGUCAAUGUACUGUUAAAACAUUUUAAAAGCUUUUUUUAUGGAGUUGUGUAGUUUUGAAACUACUGAAAUGAAAUUGUUACUUAACAGAUUUUGAGUGAUUAUUUACAAAAGUGAAAAUAACUCAUCUAUCUUUAGCUAUAUGCUACUUCAUGUCCCACCCCUGCACUUCCGUACUGUCCCUUCAACCUGGACUUUGCCUAUUGUCACACUUUGUCUAAUAUCACUUUAGCAAGCAGGACGAAAGCACAUAUUUGUCAAAGCUGACAUAUAUGCUUUCCUGAAGCCACUAUUUAAAAGAAGCUUAAAGAAGCAUCCGGGAAGCAGCACAAGAAAGAGAUAGCAUGUCAGCUAAGAGAACGGGAACAAACACUAACCAAAUGACAGUGGCUAUACUACACUAAGAUGACCUGUCCACUAAAAGAUAACCAUACUCCACACAAAGAUACAUGAGAAUAGAUAACGAAAACAGAAUUUGGCAAUCCAUAGCUCAUGCGAGAAAUCCUAGACAUCAGUUGCUUUAGGAAUGCAGAAUCUGGGAGAACACAGAUACAUUUACUUAGCUAAGACUAUUUUUGCAGUGCACAAAGGUGCAGGAGUUGAACAGUCAGAGACUCUGUGACCUAAGAAGCCAAAAAAGAAAAAAAAAUCUUCCUGUUUGCACCAAAAACUUUGUGAACUCUUGCUUAAUUCUAAGAGGUGAUUUGUUGGGCAGCAAUGAAUUACCCAGACAUUUGCCCAAAGGGAACAUGCCUCAUUUCUUAUUAAACCAAUAAAUUCCUAUACUCGUGAAAAACUACAUAUGCAUUUGCAAAGCCAAUUGCUCUUCUGUGGAUAAAACUUAUUGUUCAGCUUGCGUUUCUAAAGCACAGUUAUGCAGGUGGCUGAUUUUACACCAGUGUUUUGCUCCUUAUUCACCAUAGCAAUGGACUUGGGCAUAAAGCUACUCUUUCAGAAUUGUAUCUCUGAGUCCCUUUAUUUCACAUUAUCCCAUGUUUGUGUUUUCCUUUCUGUGAUAAGAAAGGAAGAGACUCAGGCAUUUCUUUGGGUUUCUUUCUAUCUUUCCUCCUCUUCCAACUGAAUGGAACCUCUAGCCACUUGAGUUACCUAUUCUGAUAAGUAGAAUAUGCUAAAGCAGGAGAAAAAAAAAGAAAAGAAAAGCUCGUCAAAUAAUUUAAGCCAACUUUUUCUCUUUUUAGAACUCCAUGGAACAUGAGUUCUCACAACUUAGAAUACACACACCGAUAUGCAAAUUAAAGAAAAAUAAAGUUGAGUCUUCUCGCACGUACCAAGUGAUCUUUCGGUAUCAUGUUCUAGCAGGCUGGUCAUAUACUAAAUAAGGUAACAGUUUUAUGUAAAAAGUUUUGGCACCAAACAGAUUUAGUUGAUAAAACAACUGGAUUGUUGGCUCCAAACUCUGUUUUUGAUAAACUUUGCCCCAAUUUUGUUAGUUGGCCAGAGGCAAGCCAUUUACAGUAACCGUGCUUUUCUCUUCCUAGAUAAAAAUAUACAACCCCAGACAGGCAAAGCAGGAAUUCUGAACACUGACCUUUCUAAUUCCUGUUUCUCCCAAGUCAGUGGGCUGCAGUAACUGGCAAUCGCCUUAGGCAUGUGUCAUUUUGUUUCCCAGAAAUGCUUGUGCACCAACAGAGUGCCUUAGGUGAUGCAAUUGGGAUAUAAUCAAGGUGAGCCUUUACCAUAUAGGCAGGUGAAAACACACACACACACUGAUUUUUUAAAGGCAAUCAACAGAAAAUUAGGAAAUAGAGUUUAAUCACACUAUGAUGACAGCCAACAUAGGUCAAUGAGGGCAACCUUUAAGUAUUCACAGUCCCCAUUCCUUCAGAGAUUGUUUCCCUAAGACUUGGAAGCCUAUCAACUCAUAGUUGAUAUUCACAUAUGAAAUUAUAAGAGUGACCUCAUUCUUAGGAAACCAAGUCUAUACCAGGCUUGACCUUCAGAUGUUAAGAUUCCAUGAUAGGAAUCCUAGAAAUUUAAAUGUAGGAAAUACAUUCUGGAUCAAAAAGCAAACAAAAACUUAGUUUCCCAAUGAAAUGCAUUUAAAUAUAAUCUUCCCAAAGUAUUUUUCUUGAAAGUAAAGAAGAAUUCCAAACACAACUAUAAAAAUGGUAGCUGGCUUGCAGUACUUGGGAACUGCCUACUCAUCCAUCAAUGCCUAUUUAAAAGUAAUUUCUGUUGGAAGUUGUAUGAGCUGUUUCUGUUAUGGACUGUCUCAGAUUUUGUACUUUGUGGAUCAGAACAAGUAGCACAAUAGUCUUAUCUAAUUACUUUCUUCUCCUGCUGGACUGAAUACUGUGUAAGGAAAGAAAUACAUUAUCUUUCUUGCUCACCAAAAUAUUCCCAGAGCUUGAUAAGAUGAUAGGAACAGCCCAGGUACUUAAAAAAUAUUUGCUACAAACAUGGAUUUCUCAGUGGAAAACAAGUGAUUGAAUUUUACCAGUAUUGGAAGUAGACACGAACAGUGAUGAGUCCCAGCAAGAAGAGCUUCUAUGGAGCAGAUAAUGAGUUAAGUACCAUAGAGUAAAAGGUGUUUUUCAAAAGAUAGUGCCUAUUAUCAGUCUUAUAGUAAGAAGACGUAUGAGGACAAUGUAGAUUUUGUUGCCGGGCUAUGACUGGCAGGGUAAAUCCAGUUUAGUCCAAUCUCCCUAUAAAGACAUACAUAGUUUUGGGAAAGGAAAUAUGAACCCAUUUUGAUUUUCUAUCCCAUAAUAUACUUAGUAUGGUUAUUCAUACAUGUGCGCAAAUGGUAUUUUGAAUAACUCUCAGGAUAUGUAUUUAUGAAAAACAAAGGUGUUUAGAUAACUUUGUUAUUGGGUCAAUAAACUUCCCAGGUACUAGAGUCCAAACAGAUCAAACAAAAACAGCCAACUUAAAACUGAACCCAGUUCUCCAUGAUUAUGUGGAAAAGUGGCUGGUGCAUUCCAGAAGUGGGGAAAGAUAAAGAAAGUCUAGAUCACAGCACAUUAGUGGGAACUUGGAGUAAAUAUGUGAGAAAACCACCACAUGUACUCUCUGCCACAGAGGAGCACACCUGUAGUGUUCCACACUGUCAGAAUUCACUGGAUAACAAUAAAUCACAAGGUUCAAUAGUUUCAACUACAGUAUAUUGGAAGAUAAUCCCACUCCCUUGGUAAUCUGGCCACGACAAAAUGAACGUUCUUUUAUUUCAAUGUUAAACAUUAAUAUUAAAUUUCUUAUCACGUAUCUCACAGCAGUCACUCAGAACAAAAGUAUAUCUAGGCAUAUGUGGCCUACAGAAUGAAAAUAAGUCAAAGAGGCUACAGCAGCAUUCAAAAGGUCUUAGAAGUAGGCUGAUGGGAAUGUUAGAGUCUGUAUUAGUAAGAUAACUAAGAAUUCAGGCGAGGGUAACAGAUAAUAAAUUAGUGCAAGGGCCUGCCAUCAUAGUGCUAGAUGCCCAACAUUUUCUGGGGUUCAUGUUGGAAACACUGCCUUUCUUUGGUCUAACAAGCGCUUGUGUCUCGUUUCUUUGCUAUGAUUGUAAGAUGCCCAUGUACCCUCAAAUUCUCAAUGCACUGCAAUAAACAUGAAGGUGGCACCAUUUCUACUCCUGGGAUAAGGUCAUUUAUAGUGAUGGAUGGGUGGUGCCCAGCAGAUAGUGUGGGUACACCCGGGGGUAACAGUCAUCCACUCGUAAAGUGGAGCAAAAGGCUGUCUGUGAAAUGGAGAGUCCUGUCCUGGGUGAGUGCACAAUCUGAAAACCCCUUGUUUUAUACAGUGCGAAGUAACUAACAGUGGAGCUGAUUGCAACAAAACUAAACAGAGUAAGAGCCUCCCUGACCAGGAAACAUCACUUAACCUCUCUCUACCUGGAUCUCAUUAGUAAAAUUAGGAUGAAAUAAUUUAUAAGGUUGCUAUUAACGUUAAAAAUUUUAUGAGCGGCAAGGCUUGAAAACAUGAUGUCUUCAGCAGAAUAUGCCACCGUUUUUCAAUAUUCCUUUUACAUAUAAUGGAAACAAGUUAAAAUAAUAGGUCUGAUGCUCACGAAGCCAUUAAAUAUUUACUGGUCACUCUCUUGAUGAUCAUUUUGAUUCAUUAGAUAGAAUACAUAAAUCAUCGACAUUUUCAAAUUAUAAACAGCUCAGAAAGGAAUUUUGCAGUUCAUGCUGUGGACUUUAGCUAAAAUAUGAUUUACCUCCCUUCUGUGGGGGCAUUUUUAAGUUUAUUACUUGGUAAGAACAGGAAGAGUGUAAGCAAGAUACUACAACUGUGUGAAAAGGGCAAGAUAUCACAUAUGUAUGAUAAGUUCAUCAUAAUAAUUUUCCUUUUGAAUUGCAAAUUGUGUCACAAAGAUCAUUUUAGCUUUUCUGGGGAGUCAGUCUCUUUUAGAAAUAAAUCUAAAAUAUUAGUUAACAUCUAAAAUAUUAUAGUAACAACGGAAUGCAGGCAGAAAGAGAUGCUUUCUGUGUCAAGUGAUACACCAACAAUGAAAAUGAAACCUUGAGUGAAACGUAAAGAUAAAGAAAGACGUGGAUUGUAUGACACUUAUUUAUAAAUGCUAUUUUAUGAUUGUGUACAUUGUUCUCUUUCUUUCUUUUUUUUUUUUACUUGAUUAUAUGCCUCUGCUACUGCUUUUUCCCCUAAAGUCUCACUUGUUUUUCUAUUUACUGAGAUGCAGCCUUCAUAUUUUGCAAUUUCUCCAAAUCUUCCUAGAAUAGUUUUCUGUACUGGGUGUUGUACAACAAAGAAUAAUCCUCUGAAAAGCCUUUCAGUGUUUCUUCCAGUACUCCCUUCCCAAAACACACUCUCAAACCCUGUCACAGAUCCUCCUUCCCCUUAGACUACCCUAACCUACUUGUCCUCACCCACUCUCUCUUAUGCAAAUGACUGUGCUCUGGCCUCCUGCCUGGAGACUCAACAGAACCCCUACUUGGAAGCUUUCUCCAAAUUCCACCUUUUCAUCCUGUUUUUGAACCGUGUCUGUUUUUUGAAAUUCAGAAAAUGUGGGAGCCAGGUGAUGAGUAAAUCUGUCAGGGCCCCCAAACUAAUACAUGAUGAAUGAAGUCAGUGUCUUUUCGGAAGCAGCUAAUAAUGAUUCUGCUACGUCUUACUGCAUGUUUACAUUCGAAAUGCAGACAGUGUGUGGAACUAGCAUUCAAAUGAGUUGCACACAACCCUUCGGUUUCUAAGUUUUCCAAUAUAUUAGAGCUCUGGUCAUGGAUGUUACAAGUGGGGUUAUGUGCAGGAAAUUCAAAGAAAAAAAUAUUCAAAUGACAUCUAGUGAUGAUGGCAUCCCUGGGCACUGAGAACAUCUACCACCACAUUCACCAAAAUGUGAAAACUAUCCCUGCACUACUGAACACAGUCUAGACACUAUUAGCAUACAAAUUUACUCAAUUUAAAAUAAACUUCCUAGUAUGCAUAAAACCACCUUAAUAUGUUGGGUGAAAUAGGUAAACUGUUUAUCAUUAGAAGUUUUGAGACAACUCCAUGCUGAUCCCACUGUAGCUGGGCUAAUUGUAUUACAACAUUUCUUUUUCCAUUUCUGUUUUAUUUGUAUAUAUGCUUAUAUAUAUACAAAUGUGUGUCUGUGGGAGUACAUGUCACAUGAUGAGGGUGCUUUUGGAGGCCAGAAGAGGGUGUGAGAUUCCCUGGAGCUGGAGUAACAUGUGGAUGUGAGCUGCGGACUUUGUUCUCCUCCACUAGAUGUGCAGCUGAGAAUACCUCUUCAUUUUCUGGGAAGUAGUAGCUUACAAAUAUUGUCCAUCUUAGAAGCAAAGGGAGGUUUUCUUGGCUUAACUGUUUAUAAUUAUGCAGCAGCCAUUGUUUAUUCUGGCUUCCUUCACAAUAUAUUUUGUCUUUGGUUAUUAUCCUUGUUGGUAAAGAUAUCAAUAGUUUUCAGGACCUUGGAGUAUUAAACUAUGUCAUUACAUUUCUGCAAUUGACUUGCUCUUUCUACUGUCCAUGAAAAUUUGCUCUCCCCCUUCCAUUUGGUUAAAAUGAAUACUGUCUUUGAGAUAAUACAUGAAUGUGUGCAUACAUGCACUAAUUUCUACUAAGUGCGUACUGAAUGCAAUUGUUCGAGUGUUGCUUUAAUCAGCCUGUCUUGCCAUUAUCUAAACUCAUUUUACCAGUUUGUAUCCAAUUAGCCCAGUGCUGGGUUCCACUGUACCAUAACCUUACCAGUACUGGAACUGUCUAUGCUGUCUCUUUACUUAGUCUGUUUCUGACUUACAUUAAGCCAAUGAACAAAGGAAUUGGAGGAAUUUCUCACAGCCAUUGGACAUUUGGAUGUGCACAUUCAUCAACAGUUUAUUAAAGUCCUUUCAAAAGUUUUCAACUAGGCUGUAAUGUUUUCAUAUUGAUUUGAAAAUGUUCUUAAUCGGGCCUAGAUGAAUUUGGAUACAAUUGAUCUAUGCAUAUAUGCAUGUCAUUUAUGGAUAUGUUUUGAUUUAAAUUCUAUGAUGCUUUUAGUCACUAAACAUUCUUUAUUUUUUUAUUUCAUUCAUUAUUAUUGCAUAUUUCUGUGGUGUAUGUGUGUGUGUGCAUGAGUGCCCAGUGAGGUUACAUAUAUGCAGGUCAUAAGACAAUAUGUAGGAGUAGAUUCUUUACUUAGAUUGUUCACUCCAGAGACUGAACUUAAGGUGUCAGACUUGUGCUGUGAGCCCUAUUACUUCGCUGAGCCAUCUUCAUGGCCAGUCUUCGUAUUAGUGUAAUAAAGCUUACUAACUGACCGCUAAUGCUGUUCAACUUCUCAUGUUUUUCUUCAAUGCAAUGCUAAUGAUAUGUAAUGAUUAAUGAAUCAUCAACUCUUUCCAAAAUAUUUAAUUUUCUUGUUUUUUUAUUGUUUUACAGCCUUGUUCUCCACUGCUGGAAUUUUCAGUGUGUGUGUGUGUGUGUGUGUGUGUGUGUGUGUGUGUGUGUAUCUAAAGGAACCAAUUCUCUGCAGUCCCAUAACCUGUGCCACCUCCCUAGUCAUACAGCCACAUAAAAAUGAAUGUAGAAUACUACUGGGUUUAGAUUGAUUUCUUUGGUAUAUUAUCAAAACUAUACUGGUUUAAUUUACAUGUACAAUAACCAUGAAAGUCAUUCUUCCUUAUUCUUCUAUAAGAGUUUUGACUAUUCUUUAAGGACAUUUAAAUUAUUUAUUUAUUUUUAUUUAUUUUAUGUGGGUGGUAUUUGAACUACAAUACAUGUGAAAAUAUCACACGUGAGGAGGAAGUCCUGUGGCUGUCAAUGUUCUCCUGAGAGAGACCCUGAGAGUCAAAUCCAUGUCCACAAUCAUGGUAGCAAGUGCCUCUACCUACUGAGCUAUCUUGAUGACCUUAGGCUCUUGACUGUUCUUAAAACUCUGCAACUAUAUACAAUAUUUUAAUGAGCUGGUCAAUUUUCAAAUGAAGAUCUCAUCUGUUCUCUGCAUACUAACGGUUUUAUGAUUGGUUUUUGAGCAUUUUUAAUUUGUUCAUGUGACAAGGUUUCUUAUUCUUUUUGAUGUUAAUGUUGGCUAUUUGUAUUCUCUUAUUGUUAAAAUCCUGUUAUAAUUCACAGGCUAAAACUAAUCCAUUUUAAUGUACUCCUCUAUUUAGUUUGCUAAUCUUUUGGUCAAUACACUUCCAUCUGUAUUCAUGAAAGUGGUUCAUCUGUGAUUUUAAUUUUUUCUAAUAUUUUUGCCAGAUUUUACAUAAACUUCAAACAUUGAAUAGAAAUUGUCUCCACUAAUUAUUUUCAUCAUUUUCUGGUGGGGUUUGUGUAGAAUCUCUAUUAUUUUUUUCUGCAAUGCUUAGAAAAGUUUCUUGAUAGAAAGUUUUGAAACAGUUUAAGUUGGAGAUUUCUGGUCAUUUGUCCCAUUAUUCUUUAAUUUAAAUCAGUAGUAGUAGUAGUAAGAAGUUUAGUCUCUAUUUGUAAUCUGUUAAGAUUCAUUUUUGGUAUUGGUUCAUUGUAUGUCUAAAUAUAAUAUGUAUUUAAUUUUGAGUGUAUGUCAAUAUAUGCCAGUGAGUCAAUGGUAGUGUUGUUUAGAUCUUGCAUAUUCUUAGUUUUGCCUUGUUCUUUUAUCCCAUUAAACCUGAAUAAUCAUUAGCUGAAUUUUCAGUUAUAACUUCUGAGUUAUCUUUUUUGUUACCUUUUAUCUACCAUUUGCAUAUAUACCCUAUACAUUAUGCCUAAUCUGUCAUCUUUUCAUCUACCUGUUUCCUAUUUAUUAUUUAUCUGUAUUCCAUUCUUUAUUCUGAUUUAUGCCUUAACAUCUACCAUCAUAGCAUGGAUAUGACAUUAUUAGAUAAACACAACCUUUUAACUGUAUUUGCUUCUGUUGGUUUGCUCUUUUAUUAAUGUAAAAUAUUGUUACUUACAGAAGUGUUCUAGUUCAAGAACCCAGCUCUUUUCACAACAGUCUAAUAACUAAAUGCUUUUUAAACUUGUUUAUAUGGAAUUUCAUUUCAGAUUUUCCUAUAGUGACAUAUAGGUGCACUCACUUGCUUGUGUAAAGACACACACACACACACACACACACACACACACAUAAACCAAAGAAGCAGAGAAGAAAAUAAGUAAAAAGGAAAAAGCCCAUGAACAGAGAAAACGGUAUUUAAAAUGCACUAAAAUAUAUUAACAACCUUCUUUCUCUUAAAGAAUCUUUGGUGAUUUGUAUGUUAUUUAUUUAAGAAAAGAUAUUGCCCUAAAUGAUCUGAAAGUCACUAUGAAGCUCAGGAUGGCCUUAAACUCAUGAUUCUCUUGUCUUAACCUUCAGAACGGUGAGAACAUGACCAGCUUUUCUCUCCUCUGUUUGCAAGAUUGUUUUAGGUCGAUUUUGAUUGUGUUGCUGUAACACAUGCACAUAUGAAUCACUUUAUUGACAGGUGCCUUUUGUUGGCUGGUCCCCUUUAAGUACUACACAAUGAGGGUGCUGGGCCAGCUGAAGUGCUGUGACAGACUUGGCUGGCUUCUCCUCUAAGCACAGGAUUACUUUUCUUGUGGUUAUAGCUCCCUUUCAUGCACAACCCCAAGGAUUAGCAUCUUCCUCUUUUAUUGACUUGCCUUUUCUGCAGUUUAUCUCUUUUAAUGAUCUUUUGGAGAGCAAGCAUUUAAAUUUAUCACUCAAAUGCUCUACUCUCAUUUGUAAAUUAUUGAUCUGCAAUUGUAUCUUUAUUAAUUCAUCCCUGCCCCUUUAUACUCAUUUAAAAGAAUUAUUCCUAUUUUUCUUUUUACUGUGAUGAUUAAGUAACCUAUUUUCAUUCUUUCUUGUUUAACAUGAAAAACAUUAAAGCAUUAUAUUUUAUUCUGAGUAUAGGUCUGGCAGUAACCUACUGGUUUAGUUCUUUUCUGGAUAUAAUUCUGAUUUUUAAACUUGACAUGAGUUAGGAGAAUUUUUCCUUUUUUUUUCCUCUACCAAAACUCCUACAUCUACUCUACGACUCCACUGUUGCUAGCAUUUUCCCAUGUAGUGGCAUAUAUUUUAACUGAGUACCUCACUCAGCCGCUUUUGCAACUGUCUGUGGCCCUCUCACUGAGUUCCAAGAGGAGACAAUCCUGGGAAGGGAAAGGGUGUGAACUCUGACCCUCAGAGGAAGCAUGCAUCUUCCUCCUGAUUUUUAAAAUGCAGAUCUGAAGAAGAAAGGAACUGGACUAUCUCACCACCCCCUGGACCCCAGAUGAAAAAUGGCAGCUUCUGGAAUAAGCAAGUAGACAUCUUGGUCUCCAAGUAGUUACUUUUUCUGCUCUGAAAAUGUAUGAAUCAUUGCUCUAAGAGACAAAUUAAUGUCUCUUCAGGGGCUAUUAUUUCAAGACCCCAUUCAGCAACUGCAAUGAUGUCAUAACUGAUGGAGUUAAUGAUUACUAAUUUAGUUUUGUUGCUAUCAACAUUAAAUAUAUAAAAUAUAUGUUCUUGUUAUAUCUAGAAUAUGCUAAGCUAUUUUAGUUGUCUAGAAAGCUCAAGUUUUGUAAGCACUUCCUAUUUUUAUGAUGCCUUAGCUUGUGUAUAUAGAUGUUAUUCAGUUCACAUCAUCAGUCAUAUUACUACUUUCCAUAUCAUUCUCUGUGUAACAGCACUGCAUAGAAUACUGACAAGUUUCUAUCAAAAUAAAUAAAUGUUUAAUGAUCCCUUUAUUAUUUGCUUCCUGUUUUUAUUGACAAGGACUACGCACCGGGAAUGAAUUCUAUCCUUACUUCACCAGCUGUUUCAAUAUUAAACCACAUUCUUUCAUCUUGCUGUCUUUCAGUUCCCAUGUCAGUGUAAAAGCGGAAACAACAGUACAUAUACCUCAGGAUUAAGACCAUUGUAAAAUGAAUACAUGUUGACUAAUCUCAAUCUUGCUGAGAUGAUCAGGGACAUGCUCUCACACCGCACACAAAGGAGGGUGAGAGGAAGGAUCAUAACAUAACUGUCAUGAAAGAGGCUUCUUCACCCAGCAACUAAUGGAAACUAUUGCAGAGACCCACAGCCACACACUAAGUGGAGCUUGCAGAAUACCAUGGAAGAAGCCAGGGUUGAAGGAGCCAGAGGGGUCAAGGAGACCACAAGAAAAUCUGCAGAAUUAAUUUUCCUGGGCCCAUGGGGACUCACAAAGACUGAACUGCCAACCAGAGAGCAUGCAUAGUACAAACUUAGGCCCUCUGCACAUAUGUAACAGUUGUGCAGCUGGGUCUUCAUGUGGGUUCCUAAAGUAGGAGCAGGGAUUGUCUCUGACUACAGUGCCUGACUUUGAAUCUCUACCCUUUUUGGGCUGCUUUUCUAACCACAAUAGCAGAAGAUGUGCCUGUUCUUACUGCAACUUGAUAUGCCAAGGCUGCUUGACAUCUAUGGGAGGCCUCUCUUUUCCGAGGAGAAGGGAGGAGGGUAGGUGGGAAAGGGAGGAAAGAGGGAGAGUCUGGAAGGAGAGAACGGAAGGAAAGCUUCUAUAGGAAUGUAAAGCAAAUAAAUAGCACUAACAACGCUAUGUUUAAAAAAAGAAAGAAAGAAAGAAAAGAAAAUAAGGGGCUCCAUCCAAAGUUCUAAGUUUUUGCUUUAAUUAAUCGAAAAUUAUCAUUUAGCUACAAAGCAAGAAGAGGAAAAGAAAACUUUUAAAACGGCAAUAGAAAUGCCCAGCACAGAAAAACACUAGAUGAAAACCAAAGAAACCAAAGUUGACAUUUUGGUAAGAUCAAUAGAAUUGAGAGAGCAUAUUGUCAAGUUAAUUGAGGAAAAAAAUAGAAACACAGAUGAUGGGUGGUGUUAGAAAUUGAAAGAGGAAGUCACUGUGGAUACUAUAAACACCAAGGAACAAAGUAAGAACAUUCUAAAUAACUUCAAUUAAUGUUGAUAAAUUCAAUGAAAUAGACAUAUUCUUUCAAAUUCGUAACCCGUGGGCUCUUUGAAAAAAAUAAACUCAACACAACUGUGUAUCUAGAUAAGGCUUAAAUUAUGGCUUCACUUGUAAAGCCUACCAAAUAUUCAAGGAAGAAAUGAGAAUUCUGUAUAAACUUUUCCUGAAUGCAGAAGAAGCAGAAAACAUUUUUAACCCAUUUCAGCCCAGUUUGUUAGAUUUGCAUCAGAAAUGAAAUGAAAUGAAAGAAAAUUUCAGAUGGUAGUUCAUCCUAGAACACUGGUACAUGCUUUCAGUUCCAGGGAUUCAGAGGACAACAGAAUCUCCUCAGAUCAAAUGUUUGGUGCCAAUCUAGGAGGCAGAGCAAAGCCUCAAAGAGAGGAGGCAGAAGAAGGGAGGGAAGGACAGUAGAAGAAAGGAGGGAAAGAUGAAGAAAGUAAGGAAGA